CACGUAGGGGCCAAGCGUUGUCCGGAUUUAUUGGGCGUAAAGAGCUCGUAGGCGGCUCGGUAAGUCAGGUGUGAAACCUCCAGGCUCAACCUGGAGACGCCACCUGAUACUGCUGUGGCUAGAGUCCGGUAGGGGAGCGUGGAAUUCCCGGUGUAGCGGUGAAAUGCGCAGAUAUCGGGAGGAACACCAGUAGCGAAGGCGGCACUCUGGGACGGUACUGACACUGAGACGCGAAAGCGUGGGGAGCGAACAGG
rnacentral:rRNA from 1 species